AGUGCUUUCGUUUUGCUUACAAGUUUCAAAAUAGAGACGAAGUUUAAGAUUAUAGAGAAAACUGAACGAUCACUUUUUGGAAACGUACGUGGCUGCACGAAAAAUACCACAACAAAUAAAAUUACGAAAAUGUGGUCAUCUUGUCAAUUUUGGUGUCGCGCCUCUCCGUGCUCUCCACUUCAUGCUCUCCACUCCAUGCUGUUUGGCAGAUUUGAGGCCUGAUCCAGCCCAUCAUAACAACAUGAUAUGCAAGUUUUGCUUGUGCUGUUCAUCAGCAACAAUUUCACUGUCAUCGCUAAAAUUACAGUGUUUUUAUUCCUGCGACCUGCUAGAUAUUUUAACAGUGCAUGACUUCCACAAAUGCAGUGUAUUACAUUGAAAUCUUAAAUUCUCCUGUUUAUUAACAAUUACAUCUCAUUUUUAGCUUUUUCCUUUCCUUUUGUUUCUGUAAAUAUUUUUCGUUAACCCAUUUUUUAUUUUUUAUUUCGAUAAACAACAUCCUGUUAGAUAGGAGAACCUACUUAUGUCGAUCGAGUUCCGGAUCUCUUCUUCCCUUCUUUCUGUAAAUGUCCUCGUGUACACCCAUGUGAGUGUGGGUGUAUUCACGAGGACCCCCUCUUUCCUAUUCCUAUCCCGCCUGGUGUAACAUUCAUCUCUUCUGCGGAUGCAGCACUUAUGGAUGGAUGCCUGGCCGUAUUUCCCAGGCUCAAAGGAUGUUGAAUAACGAGGCGGAUCAUUCGUCAUAACGACGGUUGGGCCGCCGUGUGUUUGUCGAUGGAUGCGCUCGCCACCUGAUCCACUUGGCUAUCGAUCCAACAAAUGGGUCGGUGCCAACGCCGCUUUCUAAUGACGCAUGAAGCAAUCCCUUAUAUACUAGUCUCCCGUAGUUUUCGGGAACCACACCUCACCUCCCUUCCGCUCCUUUCCCUUCAUCCGUGUGUGUCGCCGUCAAAAGUGCUGUGGAACUCGCAAACCAUCCGAAGCCGGAACAAUAAU
rnacentral:lncRNA from 1 species